rnacentral:rRNA from 1 species
GAUCCUGGCUCAGAAUCAACGCCGGCGGCGCGCUUAACACAUGCAAGUCGCACGAGAAAGGGGAGCAAUCUCUGAGUACAGUGGCGUACGGGUGAGUAACACGUGGGUGAUCUACCCUUGAGUGGGGAAUAACCCUGGGAAACCGGGGCUAAUACCGCAUAAGCCUGAGAAGGGAAAGCCGAAAGGCGCUGAAGGAGGAGCCCGCGGCCGAUUAGCUAGUUGGUGGGGUAAAGGCUCACCAAGGCGAGGAUCGGUAGCCGGCCUGAGAGGGCACACGGCCACACUGGCACUGGGAUACGGGCCAGACUCCUACGGGAGGCAGCAGUGGGGAAUCUUGCACAAUGGAGGAAACUCUGAUGCAGCGACGCCGCGUGAGCGAUGAAGCCCUUCGGGGUGUAAAGCUCUUUCGACGGGAACGAUAAUGACGGUACCCGGAGAAGAAGCUGCGGCUAACUACGUGCCAGCAGCCGCGGUAAUACGUAGGCAGCAAGCGUUGUUCGGAAUUACUGGGCGUAAAGAGUGUGUAGGCGGUGCUCUAAGUUCGGUGUGAAAUCUCCCGGCUUAACUGGGAGGGUGCGCCGGAAACCGGAGUGCUUGAGCGCGGGAGAGGAAAGCGGAAUUCCUGGUGUAGCGGUGAAAUGCGUAGAUAUCAGGAGGAACACCUGUGGUGUAGACGGCUUUCUGGACCGU